rnacentral:rRNA from 1 species
GACGAACGCUGGCGGCGUGCUUAACACAUGCAAGUCGAACGGAAAGGCCCUGCUUUUGUGGGGUGCUCGAGUGGCGAACGGGUGAGUAACACGUGUGUAACCUGCCCUUGACUUUGUGAUAACUUCAGGAAACUCGGGCUAAUACCGGAUAUGAUCUCCUGCUGCAUGGUGGGGGUUGGAAAGUUUCGGCGGUUGGGUCUGGACUCGCGGCUUAUCCGCUUGUUGGUGGGGUAGUGGCUACCAAGGCUUUGACGGGUAGCCGGCCUGAGAGGGUGAACGGGCACAAUGGGACUGAGAUACGGCCCAGACUCCAACGGGAGGCAGCAGGGGGGAAUAUUGCACAGUGGGCGGAAGUGUGAUGCAGCAACGCCGCGUGCGGGAUGACGGCCUUCGGGUUGUAAACAGCUGUCGCCUGUGACGAAGCGUGAGUGACGGUAAUGGGUAAAGAAGCACGGGCUAACUACGG